UGCAGAAACUUGAACUCUCCCUGGAACAUUUUGCCCCCAUAUCAUCAAGGCCCUAACAAACCUGCCUUCUGGUUUCUUCACCCACUGUGGAUUAAUAGCCGAAAAACAAAAGGAAAGGCAAAAAACUGUCAGAUCUGGAAAGAGUUACCUCCCUGAAAGUAUAUAAUUGGUUUGCUAACAGAAGGAAGGAGAUCAAGAGGAGAGCCAAUAUUGAAGCAGCAAUCCUGGAGAGUCAUGGGAUAGAUGUGCAGAGUCCAGGAGGCCACUCAAACAGUGAUGAUGUCGACGGGAAUGACUACUCUGAGCAGGGACUUACCCUUUCCAAAGCUCUUUGAUACAGAGUUCCCCUGAAGAUGACAGGUGAGAAACGUACCCCUUAUUUGUAACACCAUCUUCAGUGCCUGACAUACAUCCUGCAAUGCCAGCUUCCUUCACAGCUUUAUUGUUUAACACAUUGAGCUGCGCAGGGAGGACAGCUUCACACUUGUUCUAGGUAAGACGACUGCCGCUCCCCUUGCACAGCUGCCUCCAGCAGGAGAGCUCAACACCUUCCUCCCCUUUCUCCCGUAGCCAUUUUUGGCAGUGACAUGUGUCCUGUUGUAAUGGAGAAUUCUUUUUUUCUUUUUUUUACAAAAAUGUAUUUUUUAUCUGUAAGAUGUAAUUGUAAGUUCUGUCUAGUUUUCUCAGAGAGGGACCAUGAAUUCUAAUAAUCUAUUUGUAAGAGCAGCAAUCUGGAAUUUAAUAGCUCACUAGUAUG
rnacentral:sRNA from 1 species